AUGCGUCCGAUUAGCUUGUUGGCGGGGUAACGGCCCACCAAGGCAUCGAUCGGUAGGGGUUCUGAGAGGAAGGUCCCCCACACUGGAACUGAGACACGGUCCAGACUCCUACGGGAGGCAGCAGUGAGGAAUAUUGGUCAAUGGCCGCAAGGCUGAACCAGCCAAGUAGCGUGAGGGAAGACUGCCCUAUGGGUUGUAAACCUCUUUUAUGCGGGGAUAAAGGCGUCCACGUGUGGAUGUUUGCAGGUACCGCAUGAAUAAGGACCGGCUAAUUCCGUGCCAGCAGCCGCGGUAAUACGGAAGGUCCGGGCGUUAUCCGGAUUUAUUGGGUUUAAAGGGAGCGUAGGCCGGUCUUUAAGCGUGCCGUGAAAUUUUGUGGCUCAACCAUGAGAGUGCGGCGCGAACUGGAGACCUUGAGUGCGCGGAAGGCAGGCGGAAUUCGUGGUGUAGCGGUGAAAUGCUUAGAUAUCACGAAGAACCCCGAUUGCGAAGGCAGCCUGCCGCAGCGUUACUGACGCUGAAGCUCGAAAGCGCGGGUAUCGAACAGGAUUAGAUACCCUGGUAGUCCGCGCGGUAAACGAUGGAUGCCCGCUGUCGGCGAUAUACAGUCG
rnacentral:rRNA from 1 species